rnacentral:tRNA from 1 species
AUCGACGACAUCAGCUUCUUCAUAAGUAUCCACACGAAUUGCUUGAUUCAUAGUCGAAGACGAUGCUGUAACGCGACCCUGUUAUAGGUCUGUAGCUCAGUUGGUUAGAGCGCACCCCUGAUAAGGGUGAGGUCGGCAGUUCAAAUCUGCCCAGACCUACCAAUUGCUUGGUGCAGAAGAAUACGGGGCCAUAGCUCAGCUGGGAGAGCGCCUGCCUUGCACGCAGGAGGUCAGCGGUUCGAUCCCGCUUGGCUCCACCACUCUCUCGUGUUGCGGUGAGUGUUAAAGAGUUCAGAAAUGAGCGCUUCAGGUUUGUCCUGUUGAGUGCUGAUUUCUGGUCUUUUGACCGGUACGAAAAUCGUUCUUUAAAAAUUUGGAUAUGUGAUAGAAGUGACUGAUUAAUUGCUUUCACUGGCAAUUGAUCUGGUCAAGGUAAAAUUUGUAGUUCUCAAGACGCAAAUUUUCGGCGAAUGUCGUCUUCACGAUUGAGACAGUAACCAGAUUGCUUGGGGUUAUAU